CCUAGUACGGCGAGUGAAGCGGCAACAGCUCAAAUUUGAAAUCUGGCGUCUUUGGCGUCCGAGUUGUAAUUUGCAGAGGGCGCUUUGGCAUUGGCAGCGGUCCAAGUUCCUUGGAACAGGACGUCACAGAGGGUGAGAAUCCCGUACGUGGUCGCUAGCCUUUACCGUGUAAAGCCCCUUCGACGAGUCGAGUUGUUUGGGAAUGCAGCUCUAAAUGGGAGGUAAAUUUCUUCUAAAGCUAAAUACUGGCCAGAGACCGAUAGCGCACAAGUAGAGUGAUCGAAAGAUGAAAAGCACUUUGGAAAGAGAGUUAAAAAGCACGUGAAAUUGUUGAAAGGGAAGCGCUUGCAGCCAGACUUGCCUGUAGUUGCUCAUCCGGGUUUUUACCCGGUGCACUCUUCUACGGGCAGGCCAGCAUCAGUUUGGGCGGUUGGAUAAAGGUCUCUGUCAUGUACCUCCUCUCGGGGAGAACUUAUAGGGGAGACGACAUGCAACCAGCCCGGACUGAGGUCCGCGCAUCUGCUAGGAUGCUGGCGUAAUGGCUGUAAGCGGCCCGUCUUAAA
rnacentral:rRNA from 1 species